AAGUGGCGCACGGGUGCGUAACACGUGGAUGACCUACCCCUUGGUUCGGGACAACAGCGGGAAACUGCUGCUAAUACCGGAUGUGUCGUAGCAAUACGAGAAAGGCCCGCAAGGGGUCGCCAGAGGACGGGUCCGCGUCCCAUCAGCUAGUUGGUGAGGUAAUGGCUCACCAAGGCGAAGACGGGUAGCUGGUCUGAGAGGAUGAUCAGCCACACUGGAACUGAGACACGGUCCAGACUCCUACGGGGAGGCAGCAGUGGGGAAUAUUGCGCAAUGGGCGAAAGCCUGACGCAGCCACGCCGCGUGAGCGAUGAAGGUCUUCGGAUCGUAAAGCUCUGGUGGGGGGAGAAGAAGAAAGUCGGUGAAGAGCCGACCCUGACGGUAUCCCCUUAGCAAGCACCGGCUAACUCCGUGCCAGCAGCCGCGGUAAUACGGAGGGUGCAAACGUUGCUCGGAAUCAUUGGGCGUAAAGCGCGCGUA
rnacentral:rRNA from 1 species